rnacentral:RNase_P_RNA from 2 species
CGAGCCGAGCGGACGGCCGCGUGGAGUCCCCCUAGGGGGCUUCCCGAGGAACGUCCGGACUCCACAGGGCAGGGUGGUGGCUAACGGCCACCCGGGGUGACCCGCGGGACAGUGCCACAGAAAGCAAACCGCCUGGGGCUUCGGCCCUUGGUAAGGGUGAAACGGUGGUGUAAGAGACCACCAGUGCCCAGGGUGACCUGGGCAGCUAGGUAAACCCCACCCGGAGCAAGGUCAAGAAGGGGGCGCCCCGGUGCCCCUGCGCGGACGUUCGAGGGCUGCCCGCCCGAGUCCGCGGGUAGACCGCACGAGGCCAGCGGUAACGCUGGUCCUAGAUGGAUGGCCGUCUCCCCGGCCGCCGUGAGGUGACCGGGUGACAGAAUCCGGCGUACAGCUCGACUCGUCUG